rnacentral:misc_RNA from 1 species
UGGAAAAUCAAACAAAGCAAAAAAAGAAAAAGCAUAUUCGGCGGGCCAAGGUUACAAUCGUAAUUUACACCAAAUGCGAGGUCUACUAGCUAUCCAACUCGGUAAUAGGGUUGUUUCGUUCGCAGAAAGUAGCAGCUCGGCUCUAUUCAAUUCCCACUAGGACACUGAAACCCGAUACAAAACCCACUCUCACACAGAGAGAAUCCUUUCUCGUUCACCUAUUUUUCCAAUUAGAGACUUGGCUGAUACUCAAUAGCUGCGAUGUGCAUUGAUUUCUAUGGGCUAUAGAUAUAAUUGAUA